UACGUAGGGCGCAAGCGUUGUCCGGAAUUAUUGGGCGUAAAGAGCUCGUAGGCGGUUUGUCGCGUCUGCUGUGAAAACCUGAGGCUCAACCUCGGGCUUGCAGUGGGUACGGGCAGACUAGAGUGCGGUAGGGGUGACUGGAAUUCCUGGUGUAGCGGUGGAAUGCGCAGAUAUCAGGAGGAACACCGAUGGCGAAGGCAGGUCACUGGGCCGCAACUGACGCUGAGGAGCGAAAGCAUGGGGAGCAAAAGGG
rnacentral:rRNA from 1 species